UUGAGCGGGGGGAAGAAAAUGACCAUAAGAUUGAAAUAUAUAUAUGUAUAUAUAUAUUUAAUAUAUGUGUGUGUGUUCAGAUGCUCACUCAAUUUGGUGUAAUGUUGAGGCCUGAAAAACUGGACAACAAAACCAUAAUUGUUAUCUUUAUAACACUUUUGAAAUAUACGAUAUUUUUCAAAUGAAAUACUUCUACAUAAAAAAAAACGUUUAUUGCCAAAGUAUACUAUUUUGUACUUGAUAAAUUUCUCUAUAUAUUACUAUUUCAAGUGUUCAAUAAUAUCUUAAAAUUAUCAAAAAUAUAAGUUUUAAAUCUAAAAUAAAAAAUAUAAUCUUAUAAUAGGUUAUUAAUAUUUCAUAUCAAUUAAUUUUAUUUUUAUAUAUU
rnacentral:lncRNA from 1 species